CGGACGGGUGAGUAACACGUGGAUAACCUACCUAUAAGACUGGGAUAACUUCGGGAAACCGGAGCUAAUACCGGAUAACAUGUUGAACCGCAUGGUUAAACAGUGAAAGACGGUCUUGAUGUCACUUAUAGAUGGAUCCGCGCCGCAUUAGCUAGUUGGUAAGGUAACGGCUUACCAAGGCAACGAUGCGUAGCCGACCUGAGAGGGUGAUCGGCCACACUGGAACUGAGACACGGUCCAG
rnacentral:rRNA from 1 species